rnacentral:lncRNA from 12 species
ACGAAUUAGUUUUUCCUGAUUCAUGACAAAAUCAUCAAAACCACAUCCCUGGUUCCUACUUGACUCUCCUGCCCUCUUGGAUUUUAUUCCUUCCACCUAUUCACUUCCCUAUUUUCAGUUAAUAUAAUGAAAACCCUAUACUCCCACCUCUCCUCCACCCAACACUGUCCAUACUGCUGGCCCCAUCUGUGCCCCCACCCUGCCCCGCCUGCAGGCAGCCCUGCCCUGGUUCUCCUGCUUCUUCCGCUGGCCCUGGCAUUGUUUUAGGCCUUAGCAGGAAAUGAAAUACAUUUCCUGAACUCCGAGGACCAGAAGCUGCCCUUGUCUGCCACCUUUGAUGACCUCGCCGAGGACGGACAGACGGAGAGGGAUGACGCUGACCCAAUGGCCUCGAAACAAUCACACGGUACAAAUCCCUGUCCUCGAGCAAAUCGGCUCCCUGGACAUGAUCCGGAGCCUGUGUCCAGGACCAGCUGAUGAAGCAUGGAUUAUCUCAACCUAAGCCAGCCCAGCCAAUGUCCUCCCACCAAACACUCUGAGCUUCCUGGCACAAGGGAGUCUCUCUCUUCUGGUCAGGAAGCUGUUAAUUGUUAUUUUAAGACUUUUUUUUUUUUUUAUUUUUUUUAUUUUAAGACUUUUAAAUGAAAACGCUAUUAUGAAUUUGGGGAUUUUAAGCAAAAUAAAAUACAGUGUUUGCCUCUAGUUUAUAGUAAA